UGGUGAUCAAAAAGAGAAUACAUGAGUGUGUGGAAAAGUGAAGAAUGAGUAGUUAGGUUAGCAUUUAAAUUGUAUAAGUUGCUAUAUAGGUUAGGUGGGAAGCUUAGGUUAAUCAAUGAUUCAAAUUUCAAGCUCACUUGACCAUAUGCAUCCUACCUUGCCCUAGUCCCAUUACAACCUUUGGAUAAGUCGUCAUGAUAUUUGUAUGCAUGCAUGAAAUAAUUUUUUAUUGUUAGAUGAAAAACAAAUCUUGGAGAGAAUGAUUAGCGGGAAAUUGAGUGAAUUAACCCCAUAAACUUGAGUGACUAGAGCGGAUAUACAUCCGGUGAGGGUUCGGCUGCUCAAUUACACGUUUUCACCUAUGAUAAUCUUUUCUUGCAAGUUUGUAAAUUGUUUUCAAUAACUCAAUUCAAUUGUGGGGUUGCUUUGAUUGCUAUUGCUUUAGCCUUUGUGUUCAUAUAUGCUUUCUUGGGAAUUAAUUUAUUUUGACUAAGUAAUUGCAUUCAUUUAGAUAGAUUACAUAUAGGUAGAUUGCAUGUAGGUAGUUUGCAUUGAAUAAAUAUUGAUACCCUUUGUUUCUUUCUUGAGUUUAGCAUGAGGACAUGCUUGGUUUAAGUGUGGGGAGAUUUGAUAAACCCCAAUUUUGUGGUUUAUCUUGUGCUUAAUUUAGGGAAUUUUAUCACUUUUUCUCAUAUUUAUUCAAUGAAAUAGCAUGAUUUUGUAAUUCUCCCUUAAUUUGUGCUUAAGUGUAAAAAUAUGCUUUUAGGCCCUUAAAUUGGUGAUUUUAAUUCACUUUAAUUCCAUUUGAUGCCUUGAUGUGCUUGUUGAGUGAUUUCAGGUUCAUAAGGCAAGUAUUGGGUGGAAGAAGUGAAGAGAAAAGCAUGCAAAGUGGAGAAUUCAUGAAGAAAUGAGCAUUUGGAGAACUAAGGGCCACGCACACGUGUCAUCCACGCGUACGCGUGCGUUGAAGAUUUUCAAGCCACGCGCACACGUCACCCACGCGUACACGUGAGAAAGAGUUUUGGCCAGCGACGCGCACGCGUCAUCCACGCGCAUGCGUAACGCUCGGCACGUGACUCACUUAAAGUGAAUUCACUGGGGGCAAUUUCUGAGCUUCCCAGGCCCAAAUCCAACUCAUUCCUAAGGUUAUUUCAUGCAGAAUUCAAGCUUGGACAAAUGGAGAGCAAUUAGUUGUAGAUUAGAAAGCAUGUAGUUAGUUUCUAGAGAGAGAAGCUCCCUCUUCUCUCUAGAAUUAGAUUAGGAUUAGGUCAAAUUCUCCUAGAUCUAGGUUUAAUUCCUUAUUGUUACAUCUAUGUUCCCUUAGUUUCUCUUGUUAAUUUCUCUUUGUAUGCCUUUUUUAUGUUGAUGCAAUAUUGUUGAAUUUUGAUUUCCUUUUAAUGCAAU
rnacentral:lncRNA from 1 species